GGGCCAUAGAUCAGUUCUAUUUCUCCUCACAAUCCGCCCCAUAUCAUAAAGCCCAACCCCACUUCCCGUUUUUCAUGCGCGUGAGGGGGUGUGGUGUUCUUCCGUUCGGUUAGCUCGUAGCCGCCGCCGUCCGUAGUUCCCUCUCCGCGCGUGGCCGCCGGUCCCGCGGCUUCCUCCUCCGUGCGUGGCUGUGGCGCCGGUCCCGCGGCUUCCUCCUGAGCGGGCCUGCUCUUCCCGUCAGGCCUCCGCACCCACGGCCGGAUCUCUUCCUCUCGUCUCCACGGCCGCCUUCCUAGGACAGCCGUUGCCCGCGCGGUGCCCGCAGCCGCCUCGUCGGCGCAACGCUCUCUUCCUCCCCAGUCCCUCCAUCGGAACCACCCUAAGCUUCCUUAGCCCAUUCGGUUCUACCGAAAGAAUCCCCAUCCUCUGUCGCGUCCGCCACCUCCUCUGCGGCUUACCAGCCGGACUCCUCAAGCCUCCCGCUUAGCCCCCUCGCCGGUGAUGGCCGCGGCCCCGCCGGUAGCCGGAGAAGAUAUUAAAGACGGCGUUGAGGUGUGCCUGUUCGAUGAAUCAGCAGAUGGGUUCUCGAGAACUGUGCGCGCCAUCUCGGAGCUCGUCGACAUAGAGCCCGAAACAGACUUCCCUGAGGCGGAAGUUGAGCGGCUCUCCUCCUCAAUAACGUUCCUCAGAGAAUGGAGGCACUUCUCGUAUGAGCCAAAAAGUGUAACAUUCACUAAUGGCACCGAGUCCACUUCAUAUAGAGAUGACAUGCACAGUGUAACUUUACCACAGUUUUCAUCUGCUUCUGUUCCCCAGAUUACACCUCAGGAAGACCGAGGGGAUAAUACGGUCAGCUUUGAUUUUAUUCUAUAUGCGGGGGGGAAUGUCUGGGCCUUGGACUGGUGCCCUAGGUUGUGCGACAAGCCUGACUCUUCUAUAAACUGUGAGUAUCUUGCUGUUUCUGCGCAUCCUCCUGGUUCUUCUUACCAUAAACUUGGCAUGCCCUUAACCGGGAGAGGUAUCAUUCAAGUUUGGUGUCUGUUAGCACCAUUUGAAGAUUCACAUUCUCACCAGCCAGUGAAUGCAUUCAAUAAUGGUAAGCAAAGAGGAAGGCCUAGAAAAAUACCUUGUAGUGAUAAGCUGGUACCUGUUCCAAAAGGACCAAGGGGGAGGCCAAAAAAGAGAUCUUACGAUGAUCAGUUAGAACCUGUUCCGAAAAGACCAAGGGGCAGACCAAGAAAGUAUCCAUUACCAGUUGCAAAAUUUGAAGGUUCAUCUCAAAACGGUGAAAGUCAGGAUAUUAUUCUUUUUGAUCCCCUUUCUACUUCAAGUUUUAUUCCAGAUGACCUUUCAUUGGCUUCUGUCAUGCCAACUGAAAAGUCUGUGCAAUCAACACCUAAAAGAGGUAGAGGGCGACCUAGGAAAAACCCAAGUGACAAACUGACAGACUCAUCUGGUAUUGUAUCAGAAGAUGUGUGUACAGCCCUACCUCCAACAACUGCAAUCUCUACAAAACCUAAAAGACCACGGGGGAGGCCUCGAAAAUAUCCAAUUCCAAUGAAUGAUGGAUCUGUUUCAGGCGCUGAUGUUGAAUUAGGGAAAGAGACAACUUGUCAGACUGCUUCAUUUGGCUGCAGUUUGGACCACACUGCUUGCACAGAGUUUAAUGCCAAGUUAUGUAUUGUUGCAGUUGAUGCAGCAUUGCCACCUAUUGACAAACUGACCUGUUCACCUGGUACUGUAUCAGGAGAUGUGUGUACAGCCCCAACUCUAACAACUGCAAUCUGUACAAAACCUAAGAGACCACGGGGGAGACCUCGAAAGUAUCCAGUUCAAAUCAAUGGUAGAUCUGUUUCAGGCACUGUUGCUGAAUUAGGACAAGAGUCAACUUGUCAGCCAGUUUCAUUUGGCCACACUGUUUGCACAGAGUUUAAUGCUAAUUUAAGUAUUGUUCCAGUUGAUGCAGCAUUGCCAAUUGUCGACAAACUGUGCAGUUCAUCUGGUACUGUAGUAAAAGAAAGUGUGUGUACCGAACCAUCUCCAGCAACUGCAACUCGUAAGCAACCAAAGAGAACACGGGGGAUGCCUCGAAAGUAUUCAGACACUAUGAUUGACCUGGGGAAAGAUACAACUGGUCAUCCUGUUUUAUUUGGACGCAGUAUGGAUCACACUGCUUGCACAGAGUCUAACUCUAGUUUUAGCAUUGUUGCAGUUGAUGCAUCAUCACUGUUUGCAUCUUCAUCUACUGCAACUUGUGAUGAUAAGUCAAAAGGUCAGAGCAUUAGAGGGAAAGAUAAGAAGAAAACAAUUUCUAAUGCUCUAUAUUGCCCUGUGGUUUCUGGUGUUGAAUCACAGAGCAUUUGUUCCACAGAAAUUCUUCCAAAUGAUCCUGCAGUCUCUGUUGAGAAUGCUUUGCCAUCUGCACAGAACACGGUAUCAAUGAAUGAGCUUUGUUCGGCUAGCUUGUUAAACCGUGAGGGUAAUGCGUGUAAAAGUGCUCUUUCAGAUGAUUCUGAACUGCCUAUCCACAUUUCACCUAAAUCAAGUAAUAAAAGAGAGUCAAGUGGCAGGAGGGGAAGAGGAAGGCCUAAAACGAUACCACUUUCUGCUGGAACUGGUCAUUUUGUGGCUUCUGUUGCCAGUCUCCCAAAGACAACCUGUGUACUGACUAGUUCAAGCAAUCUCACGUCGUUGAACAAGAGUGGUGGCAAAUUUAUAGUAAGUAGCGUUAGUUCAUGUGGCUGUGAUGUUGAGAAAUGCAGUGUUCAUUCAGGUGUUUUGUUGUCUGAUGAUGCACCACCAGCACAUGGCUUACAAAAUACAAAUUGUAAGGAAGAAUCGAAUACCAAAAUAGGAAAAGCGGGAUCUAGAAAUAAGCCUGUUGCAGUUGAGCACAAUCAUUUUACUGAUCUUAAUGUAAAAGAACAAAAAGUGCAGACAACUCCAAUGUCAGGUGAUCCUGUGAUCUUGGUUGAAAAUUGUAUGGAAGGACAAGGCCCCAGAAAGGCUGGGGGGCAACUUCAAAGGAUACCUGCUUCAAACAAGAGUAGUGGCGCAUCUGUUGGUGGUGGAACAUAUAAAAUAGAGACAUUAUCCACACCAAUGACUAAAGGAUCAUCUAAAAAUAAUGACAUGGCUUAUGGGGCUGGUUUGAAUCAGUCUCAGAAUGCAAUUGUUGGUUGUGAAGGCAUGGAAGUUAUUGAAAGCAACACUGCCAAUUAUACUUCUCAUUGUAAUGAAAAUGCACGAGCAAAUCAAGUUGCACCCAGUUUCAAGAACAGUGAUAGGGUCAUUGAUGAAACGGAAGCUGCGGAACUUGGGCCACUCAAGGAACCAAGGGAAGAUGACAAUUUGUUUACUUGUGUAAACUCAAACUCAGCUUCAAUUACAAGUGACAUUGCUCAACCAAGAGUUGUCUUGUGUUUAGCUCACAACGGCAAAGUCGCUUGGGACAUCAAAUGGAAGCCUCCUUUACUAAGUCAACCUGAACAGAAAUCACGACUUGGUUUUCUUGCAGUAUUGUUGGGGAAUGGCGCUCUUGAAGUGUGGGAAGUUCCAUCACCAUGUAUGAUCCAGAAAAUAUAUUCCCCCUCUAAGGUGGAGGGUUCUGACCCUCGUUUUCUAAAGCUCCAACCUGUAUUUAGGUGUGUCAAAGUGAAGUGCAGGAACAGGCAAAGCCAUGACCUCUUUAUAAUGGUAAACAGCAUUCCCUUGACAGUUGAUUGGUCACCUUCUCCUCCUCAUGAUAUGAUAUUGGCGGGUUGUCAUGAUGGAACGGUUGCUUUAUGGAACUUCUCGAUGAAUUUGCCAACACAAGAUUCAAAACCUUUUAUGUGUGUCACUGCUGAUUCUGUUCCCAUUAGAGCUCUCUCUUGGGCACCAUAUAUAAGUGAAGAAAGCACAGAUACCUUUGUCACUGCUGGAGAGGAUGGUCUAAAGUUCUGGGAUUUAAGAGAUCCAUACCAUCCUCUUUGGGAGCUAACUACUGCUCCAAGGGCUGUAUUAAGUCUUCAUUGGCUAAAAGAUGGAAGGGGGAUCAUUAUCUCACUGGAAGAUGGUACAUUGAAGUUUCUAAGCUUGCCUCGGAUUGCAAAUGAUGUUCCAGCCACUGGAAGGCCAUUUUCCGGAACAAAAACUCAGGGUGUUGCAACUUAUCAGUUGUCAGAAUAUUUGAUUUGGAGUGUCCAUGCUUCAGAACCUACAGGUUGUGUGGCUUACUGUGGGGCAGAUGGUACUGCUGUGUACUUCCAGCUAAAAUCGAGAUUCUGGGAUAAGGAGCCUGGGCGUAACCGUGUUCCUUAUUUCCUCUGUGGAUCAUUAUCAGAGGAUGGAGAAAAUAUUAAGAUUGGCAGCAGGCUGCAAACAUCUCCAUUACCAAAUGUGCCUGUGGGGACCAAAAAGGGUUCAAAACCAUCCCAAAGUAUAGUUCAGGCGCUUGCUACAAGCGAUGUCACUAGCCUGCUGACAUAUCAGCUCAACUCCCCCACAGGAAACAAUGAUGCCGUAAAUCUAGAAGCUCAUGAUGAUCAAGAUGAUGGACGCAGCAAAGAGCAAGGAGCAGGUGCUGUAAAUCAAGAACUUGAUGGUGAACAAGAUGAUGGACACCGUGAAGAACAAGCAGCAGGCAUGGUAACCACAGAAUUUGGCGAUGAUCAAGCCGAUGGACACAGCGAAGAACAAGGAGCUGGUGCAAUAAUCUCAGCCACUCCUGCAAAGGAAGAGAAUGAUGGAACAUGGAACGACAAGGGUGUUCAAUCCCCUAAAGACCUUAAUGUCGUCCCUCCGAAUUCUGUCGCUUUGAAUCAAGUGCGGUGGAACAUGAACAAGGGUAGCCAGAGAUGGCUGUGCUAUGGAGGUGCUGCAGGCAUCAUACGAUGCCAGAGAAUCUGAAGAGCCGCAAUCUGGAAUGCUCUUCGAGAAACAGAGGCUUGUCACACAGAUGGUGAACAUGAUGCAUUCGGGAGGAAAUAAUAAAUGCCAUAGUGCUCGAGAUUCUGGUUUCCUGAUGUGGUUCCUGGACGCUGACAUGCUAUUGUACUGAGUUGUAUCGAAUUUCGUGAUGUGAUCAUGUGAUUUAUGGUCGCUGACACUAUUCUACACCCGCUUCGUCUCGGAACAAAGUUAAUUGAACUAUAUCCCAUCACGACACUCGAGUCUUCUGAGCGCUUAGCGUCUCUCUCAAAUAGAUCAGGUUUCUUUGCAAGCUACCUGUUCUGAGCUAGGCCUUCUAAAUUUAUGCAACAAUGACCGUUACGCUUGUUCAACGCUAUAUUUAGAUUCUAGAUUUCUUCU